rnacentral:rRNA from 1 species
AACUUUCAACAACGGAUCUCUUGGCUCUCGCAUCGAUGAAGAACGCAGCGAAAUGCGAUACGUAAUGUGAAUUGCAGAAUUCAGUGAAUCAUCGAAUCUUUGAACGCACAUUGCACUCUCUGGUAUUCCGGAGAGUAUGCUUGUUUGAGUAUCAGUAA